GUCUAAGGUCUGACUCGAACGACAAGUGAACGAAUUCUCCGAAAAAUGUCGUUUAUGUCGCCUCUAUUUUUAAGACUUUGCCUGGUUGAACAAGAGGUCAUUCAUUGGUUUACGUUGUCAAGGUUUGCGAAAAGAACAGGUCUCCCAUGACGAGUAUAAGUGCAAGUUCAUGUGAAGUUUUAAAUAAGUUCAAAAUGUUCAUAAAAUAGUAAAUAAGAAAUUCUCGACAUCAGAUUUGUGCAUUGGUAAAAGGAAGAAAGGGAGAAAAUUAAAUGAGAAAAAAACGAGUGAUAGAAGCAAUGAAUAACAAUAGAAGAAAGUAGAAAAGUUGGUGACUCUGUACAUAAAAAAAUGACGUUGAAGGACCAGAGGCUAAAAUGAGCACCUUAGAAUAUCAGUUGAAAAGCGAGACCGAGGACCCAUUAUCCCUGUCUCUCAUCAAGAAUGAAAAUGGAGGUUUAGUGGGGGGCAGUGAUGCCCCAGCCAGCUAUACCUCUGUCUUUUUGGAUCCAAUGACGAAAAUGAAGUUGGAAAUGAAGGCAGAAGUGGAGGUGUCUUAUGAGUCUGAUGACGACUUGGAGUUUCACUGUGAGGAUUUUACGUCAGCCUUCGGAGAUGAAGGCGAUUCACUGCCCAUCAAAAAGGAAGUCGCUAAGAAGCCCUCUUCGACCCACUUGGAGUUCCACACAGGGGAGAGGGCCUUCACUUGCAAUGACUGUGGGAGGUCGUUCUUCAAUAAAUCAAAUCUCAAGACCCACAUGGCGAUCCACACAGGGGAGAGGCCCUUUGUGUGCAAGGACUGUGGGAAGUCGUUCUCCAAGAAAUCAAAUCUCAGUGGACACAUGGUGACGCACACAGGGGAGAGGGCCUUCACCUGCAUGGAUUGUGGGAAGUCAUUUUCCCAUAAAUCGAGUCUCAAAACCCACAUGGCGAUCCACACGGGGGAGAGGCCCUUUGUGUGCAAGGACUGUGGGAAGUCGUUCUCCCAGAAAUCAAGUCUCAAGUCCCACAUGGCGAUCCACAUGGGGAGAGGCCCUUUUGUGUGCAAGGACUGUGGGAAGUCCUUCUACCUGAAAUCGAGUCUCAAGACCCACACAGAGAUCCACACGGGGAGAGGGCUUUCACUUGCAAUGACUGUGGGAGGUCGUUCUCCAAUAAAUCAAAUCUCAAGAUCCACAUGGUGAUCCACACAGGGGAGAGGCCCUUUGUGUGCAAGGACUGUGGGAAGGCGUUCUCCUAUAAAUCGAGUCUCAAGACCCACAUGGUGAUCCACACGGGGGAGAGGGCCUUCGCCUGCAUGGACUGUGGGAAGUCGUUCUUCCAUAAAUCGAGUCUCAAGACCCACAUGGCGAGCCACACGGGGGAGAGGCCCUUCGCCUGUAAUGACUGUGGGAGGUCGUUCUUCAGUAAAUCACAUCUCAGUGGACACAUGGUGAUCCACACGGGGGAGGGGGCCUUCACCUGCAAUGAUUGUGGGAAGUCGUUCUCCCAUAAAUCACAUCUGCAGA